AUUGAACGCUGGCGGAAUGCUUUACACAUGCAAGUCGAACGGCAGCACGGACUUCGGUCUGGUGGCGAGUAGCGAACGGGUGAGUAAUAUAUCGGAACGUGCCCAGUCGUGGGGGAUAACGUAGUGAAAAUUACGCUAAUACCGCAUACGAUCUAUGGAUGAACGCGGGGGACCUUUGGGCCUCGCGCGAUUGGAGCGGCCGAUAUCAGAUUAGGUAGUUGGUGGGGUAAAGGCUCACCAAGCCAACGAUCUGUAGCUGGUCUGAGAGGACGACCAGCCACACUGGGACUGAGACACGGCCCAGACUCCUACGGGAGGCAGCAGUGGGGAAUUUUGGACAAUGGACGCAAGUCUGAUCCAGCCAUUCCGCGUGCAGGACGAAGGCCUUCGGGUUGUAAACUGCUUUUGUACAGAACGAAAAGGUUUCUACUAAUACUAGGAGCUCAUGACGGUACUGUAAGAAUAAGCACCGGCUAACUACGUGCCAGCCGCCGCCGUAA
rnacentral:rRNA from 1 species